GAAGGCAGCUUACUAAACUGUGACUGACGCUGAUGCACGAAAGCGUGGGGAUCAAACAGGAUUAGAUACCCUGGUAGUCCACGCUGUAAACGAUGAUCACUCGUUGUUUGCGAUAUACCGCAAGUGACCAAGCGAAAGCGAUAAGUGAUCCACCUGGGGAGUACGUUCGCAAGAAUGAAACUCAAAGGAAUUGACGGGGGCCCGCACAAGCGGAGGAACAUGUGGUUUAAUUCGAUGAUACGCGAGGAACCUUACCUGGGUUUAAAUGGGGAGUGACAGGCUUGGAAACAGGCCCUUCUUCGGACACUCUUCAAGGUGCUGCAUGGUUGUCGUCAGCUCGUGCCGUGAGGUGUCGGGUUAAGUCCCAUAACGAGCGCAACCCACGUCGUUAGUUGCCAUCAGGUAGUGCUGGGAACUCUAACGAGACUGCCGGUGUAAACCGCGAGGAAGGUGUGGAUGACGUCAAAUCAGCACGGCCCUUACAUCCAGGGCUACACACGUGUUACAAUGGCCGGUACAGAGGGCAGCUACUAUGCAAAUAGAUGCGAAUCUCAAAAACCGGUCUCAGUUCGGAUCGAAGUCUGCAACCCGACUUCGUGAAGCUGGAUUCGCUAGUAAUCGCGCAUCAGCCAUGGCGCGGUGAGUACGUUCCCGGGCCUUGUACACACCGCCCGUCAAACCAUGGGAGUUUGGGGUACCUAAAGUCUGUCACCGCAAGGAGCGGCCUAAGGUAAAUCAGAUGACUGGGGUUAAGUCGUAACAAGGUAACCGUA
rnacentral:rRNA from 1 species